rnacentral:rRNA from 1 species
ACUCAAAGGAAUUGACGGGGGCCCGCACAAGCAGCGGAGCGUGUGGUUUAAUUCGAUGCGACGCGAAGAACCUUACCUGGGUUUGACAUGCGCCUGCACCACCCGUAAUGGGGUGUCCCCUUCGGGGGCGGGCGCACAGGUGCUGCAUGGCUGUCGUCAGCUCGUGCCGUGAGGUGUUGGGUUAAGUCCCCUAACGAGCGCAACCCCUAGGGUCCGUUACAAUGCUCUCGGGCCCGACUGCCGCGCGCAACGCGGAGGAAGGUGGGGAUGAUGUCAAGUCAGCACGGCCCUUACGUCCAGGGCGACACACACGCUACAAUGGCCGGUACAAUGGGUCGCCAAGCCGCGAGGCGGAGCCAAUCCCAGCAAAGCCGGUCUCAGUUCGGAUUGCAGGCUGCAACUCGCCUGCAUGAAGCUGGAGUUGCUAGUAACCGCGGGUCAGCACACCGCGGUGAAUACGUUCCCGGGCCUUGUACACACCGCCCGU